UGAGCAUGGAAGGCCGAAGGUUGCAA
rnacentral:piRNA from 1 species